AUUGAACGCUGGCGGCAUGCCUAACACAUGCAAGUCGAACGGCAGCGCGGGUAGCUUGCUACCUGGCGGCGAGUGGCGGACGGGUGAGUAAUAUGUAGGAAUCUACCUAGAGGAGCGGGAUAACUUGGGGAAACUCAAGCUAAUACCACAUAAUCCCCACGGGGGAAAGCAGGGGACCUUCGGGCCUUGCGCCUUAUGAUGAGCCUACAUCGGAUUAGCUUGUUGGUGGGGUAAAGGCCUACCAAGGCGACGAUCCGUAGCUGGUCUGAGAGGAUGAUCAGCCACACUGGAACUGAGACACGGUCCAGACUCCUACGGGAGGCAGCAGUGGGGAAUAUUGGACAAUGGGGGGAACCCUGAUCCAGCAAUGCCGCGUGUGUGAAGAAGGCCUUAGGGUUGUAAAGCACUUUCAGUGGAGAGGAAGUUGCGUGUGCUAAUAUCAUACGUAAUUGACGUUACCCACAGAAGAAGCACCGGCUAACUCUGUGCCAGCCGCCGCAGUAA
rnacentral:rRNA from 1 species